rnacentral:lncRNA from 1 species
UCAACUACUAAGCUUGAAACUUGUGCUCCCAUUAAGCUUUGCGCGCUUAGAGUUUAAGGUUUGCAAAGGAAAAUCGUUUUUGAAUUGGCUGAAAAUAUGAUCUGGAAGAAUUUCUGUCAUUCGUCACUUAUCACCAGAAAAUGACAGAAUGAAAAAGAAAAGUUUUUAAAUGUAUGUUAAACUAUAUUUACAGGGCAGUAAAUGGUGGUCCAAGAAAAUUCAACUACUCAAUUCUAUUUAUUUGACACCAAGUACAAGAUCUUUUAUUGGCAAGGGGGGGGGGCUUUACCCUCUCACUUUUACUUUCAGGGGGGGAGAGGCUAUAUAUGGAAGCUGCUAGAAGCACUAUAUCACCUGCAACUUGGUAUAUCGCACAUAAACCCUAUAUUUAGGUAGUUGUCCAAUAAUAUACUACCCAUCAUUCCAAUAUUCAUCAUUUUUUGAACUGAGACACAAUUUCCUGCACAUAGAUAUUAUUAGACUUUUGAAAAUUCCUUUGGCAAACAAAGCAGGUGCUUAGCAACAGAGUUGGCUUAUCUGUGAAAUUUUCAUUUCAAAAACGUUUACAUAGGCCAUGGGUUUCCAAUUAGUCCCUGACCCUCAGAAAAAGUCAGAAUGAAAAUUUUGGAAAGAGACUGGGUACGAGGUUGGGUAAAUUUUAUAUGACCAUGUAAAUUUAUGGCACCAUUUACAGCUGCUGCAGUGCUUGCAAAAGGGUGGACCACUUCAAGCAACCAGUCUUCACAGCCUUACUUAACAAACUGUAGAAUAUUUAUUGAGCUAGUAUUGUUCAUCAUCCACUCACAAAUAUUUACCGCAAUAACGUAUUGGGCUAUUCCAUUAAAUAUCCGUACCCCCCCUGUCGAGGAUCCCUGGAAUUCUUCAGGGGUAAAGGGUUUUGAGCUUGGAAUUCUUCAGGGGUAAAGUGUUUUGAGCUUGGAAUUCUUCAGGGGUAAAGGGUUUUGAGCUUGGAAUUCUUCAGGGGUAAAGUGUUUUGAGCUUGGAAUUCUUCAGGGGUAAAGUGUUUUGAGUUUGGAAUUCUUCAGGGGUAAAGGGGUUUGAGCUUGGAAUUUUUCAG